UACGAAGGGUGCAAGCGUUACUCGGAAUUACUGGGCGUAAAGCGUGCGUAGGUGGUUGUUUAAGUCUGUUGUGAAAGCCCUGGGCUCAACCUGGGAAUUGCAGUGGAUACUGGGCGACUAGAGUGUGGUAGAGGGUAGUGGAAUUCCCGGUGUAGCAGUGAAAUGCGUAGAGAUCGGGAGGAACAUCCAUGGCGAAGGCAGCUACCUGGACCAACACUGACACUGAGGCACGAAAGCGUGGGGAGCAAACAGG
rnacentral:rRNA from 3 species